rnacentral:piRNA from 1 species
UGCCCGAGCCAAAAUGGUGCAGAGCUCUGUU